AGCACUCCGCCUGGGGACUACGGUCGCAAGACUAAAACUCAAAGGAAUUGACGGGGACCCGCACAAGCGGUGGAGCAUGUGGUUUAAUUCGAUGCAACGCGAAAAACCUUACCACUCCUUGACAUGGAGAUUAGAUCCUUCUUAACGGAAGGGCGCAGUUCGGCUGGGUCUCGCACAGGUGCUGCAUGGCUGUCGUCAGCUCGUGUCGUGAGAUGUUGGGUUAAGUCCCGCAACGAGCGUAACCCUCAUCCUUAGUUGCCAGCGGGUAAUGCCGGGUACUUUAAGGAAACUGCCGGUGGUAAACCGGAGGAAGGUGGGGAUGAUGUCAAGUCAGCACGGCCCUUAUGGGGUGGGCUACACACGUGCUACAAUGGUGACUACAAUAGGUUGCAACGCUGCAAGGCUGA
rnacentral:rRNA from 1 species